CUAACACAUGCAAGUCGAGGGGCAUCGGGAUUGAAGCUUGCUUCAAUUGCCGGCGACCGGCGCACGGGUGCGUAACGCGUAUGUAACCUACCUAUAACAGGGGCAUAACACUGAGAAAUUGGUACUAAUUCCCCAUAAUAUUCGGAGAGGCAUCUCUCCGGGUUGAAAACUCCGGUGGUUAUAGAUGGACAUGCGUUGUAUUAGCUAGUUGGUGAGGUGACGGCUCACCAAGGCAACGAUACAUAGGGGGACUGAGAGGUUAACCCCCCACACUGGUACUGAGACACGGACCAGACUCCUACGGGAGGCAGCAGUGAGGAAUAUUGGUCAAUGGACGCAAGUCUGAACCAGCCAUGCCGCGUGCAGGAAGACGGCUCUAUGAGUUGUAAACUGCUUUUGUACGAGGGUAAACUCACCUACGUGUAGGUGACUGAAAGUAUCGUACGAAUAAGGAUCGGCUAACUCCGUGCCAGCAGCCGCGGUAAUACGGAGGAUUCAAGCGUUAUCCGGAUUUAUUGGGUUUAAAGGGUGCGUAGGCGGUUUGAUAAGUUAGAGGUGAAAUCCCGGGGCUUAACUCCGGAACUGCCUCUAAUACUGUUAGACUAGAGAGUAGUUGCGGUAGGCGGAAUGUAUGGUGUAGCGGUGAAAUGCUUAGAGAUCAUACAGAACACCGAUUGCGAAGGCAGCUUACCAAACUAUAUCUGACGUUGAGGCACGAAA
rnacentral:rRNA from 1 species